GAUUAACGCUGGCGGCGUGCAUAACACAUGCAAGUCGAACGAUUAAACUUAAAUGAUUUCUUCGGACUGAACUUAAGUGGAUUAGUGGCGGACGGGUGAGUAACGCUUGAGUAACCUGCCUUACACAAGGGGAUAGCCGUUGGACACGACGCAUAAUACCCUAUGAAACUAUCACUUCGCAUGAAGCGUUAGUCAAAGUGUUAGCGGUGUAAGAUGGACUUGCGUCUGAUUAGCUAGUUGGUGAGAAAAAAGCCCACAAAGGAAACGAUCAGUAGCCGGCAUGAGAGAGUGUACGGCAACAUUGGGACUGAGACAAGGGCCAGACACCGACGGGAGGCAGCAGGGGGGAAUUAUGCACAAUGGGGGAAACACUGAGGCAGCGAGGCCGCGAGAUUUAGAAGGCCGUCGGGUUGUAAAAAUCGUUUGUAUAGGAAGAAAAUGACAGUACUAUACGAAUAAGGGCCGGCUAAGUACGUG
rnacentral:rRNA from 1 species